AUUGAACGCUGGCGGCAGGCCUAACACAUGCAAGUCGAACGAGUGGCGGACGGGCGAGUAAUGUCUGGGAAACUGCCCGAUGGAGGGGGAUAACUACUGGAAACAGUAGCUAAUACCGCAUACCAUCGGAUGUGCCCAGAUGGGAUUAGCUAGUAGGUGGGGUAAAGGCUAACCUAGGCGACGAUCCCUAGCUGGCAUGAGAGGAUGACCAGCCACACUGGAACGGAGACACGGUCCAGACUCCUACGGGAGGCAGCAGUGGGGAAUAUUGCACAAUGGGCGCAAGCCUGAUGCAGCCAGGCCGCGUGUAUGAAGAAGGCCUUCGGGUUGUAAAGUACUUUCAGAGAGGAGGCGUUACUCGCAGAAGAAGCACCGGCUAACUCCGUGCCAGCCGCCGCGGUAAUUC
rnacentral:rRNA from 1 species